rnacentral:rRNA from 1 species
GAGCGAACAGAUAAGGAGCUUGCUCCUUUGACGUUAGCGGCGGACGGGUGAGUAACACGUGGAUAACCUACCUAUAAGACUGGGAUAACUUCGGGAAACCGGAGCUAAUACCGGAUAACAUAUUGAACCGCAUGGUUCAAUAGUGAAAGGCGGCUUUGCUGUCACUUAUAGAUGGAUCCGCGCCGUAUUAGCUAGUUGGUAAGGUAACGGCUUACCAAGGCAACGAUACGUAGCCGACCUGAGAGGGUGAUCGGCCACACUGGAACUGAGACACGGUCCAGACUCCUACGGGAGGCAGCAGUAGGGAAUCUUCCGCAAUGGGCGAAAGCCUGACGGAGCAACGCCGCGUGAGUGAUGAAGGUCUUCGGAUCGUAAAACUCUGUUAUCAGGGAAGAACAAAUGUGUAAGUAACUGUGCACAUCUUGACGGUACCUGAUCAGAAAGCCACGGCUAACUACGUGCCAGCAGCCGCGGUAAUACGUAGGUGGCAAGCGUUAUCCGGAAUUAUUGGGCGUAAAGCGCGCGUAGGCGGUUUUUUAAGUCUGAUGUGAAAGCCCACGGCUCAACCGUGGAGGGUCAUUGGAAACUGGAAAACUUGAGUGCAGAAGAGGAAAGUGGAAUUCCAUGUGUAGCGGUGAAAUGCGCAGAGAUAUGGAGGAACACCAGUGGCGAAGGCGACUUUCUGGUCUGUAACUGACGCUGAUGUGCGAAAGCGUGGGGAUCAAACAGGAUUAGAUACCCUGGUAGUCCACGCCGUAAACGAUGAGUGCUAAGUGUUAGGGGGUUUCCGCCCCUUAGUGCUGCAGCUAACGCAUUAAGCACUCCGCCUGGGGAGUACGACCGCAAGGUUGAAACUCAAAGGAAUUGACGGGGACCCGCACAAGCGGUGGAGCAUGUGGUUUAAUUCGAAGCAACGCGAAGAACCUUACCAAAUCUUGACAUCCUUUGACCACUCUAGAGAUAGAGUUUUCCCCUUCGGGGGACAAAGUGACAGGUGGUGCAUGGUUGUCGUCAGCUCGUGUCCUGAGAUGUUGGGUUAAGUCCCGCAACGAGCGCACCCUUAAGCUUAGUUGCCAUCAUUAAGUUGGGCACUCUAG